UGUUCUCAGGGCGGGGUGAAAUUCCCCACCGGCGGUAAAGGCAGCAAUGCCAAGCCCGCGAGCGCUCCCGGUGAUAGGGAGGUCAGCAGAUCCGGUGUAAUUCCGGAGCCGACGGUCAUAGUCCGGAUGAAAGAGAACG
rnacentral:ncRNA from 1 species